rnacentral:rRNA from 1 species
UACGUAGGGUGCGAGCGUUAAUCGGAAUUACUGGGCGUAAAGCGUGCGCAGGCGGUUUUGUAAGACAGGCGUGAAAUCCCCGAGCUCAACUUGGGAAUUGCGCUUGUGACUGCAAGGCUAGAGUGUGUCAGAGGGGGGGUAGAAUUCCACGUGUAGCAGUGAAAUGCGUAGAGAUGUGGAGGAACACCGAUGGCGAAGGCAGCCCCCCUGGGUCAAGAUUGACGCUCAUGCACGAAAGCGUGGGGAGCAAACAGG